UGGGUAACCUGCCUCAAAGAGGGGAAUAGCCUCCCGAAAGGGAGAUUAAUACCGCAUAAUAUGUUUUAGUAGCAUGACUUAAACAUCAAAGGAUUUUCUUUUAGAAAUUCCACUUUGAGAUGGACCCGCGGCGCAUUAGCUAGUUGGUGAGGUAACGGCUCACCAAGGCAACGAUGCGUAGCCGACCUGAGAGGGUGAUCGGCCACAUUGGAACUGAGACACGGUCCAGCUCCGUAGGAGG
rnacentral:rRNA from 1 species